AGCCUGAUGCAGCCAUGCCGCGUGUAUGAAGAAGGCCUUCGGGUUGUAAAGUAUUCAGUGUGAGGAAGGGGGUGUCGUUAAUAGCGGCAUCUCUUGACGUUAGCAACAGAAGAAGCACCGGCUAACUCCGUGCCAGCAGCCGCGGUAAUACGGAGGGUGCGAGCGUUAAUCGGAAUUACUGGGCGUAAAGCGCAUGCAGGUGGUUCAUUAAGUCAGAUGUGAAAGCCCGGGGCUCAACCUCGGAACUGCAUUUGAAACUGGUGAACUAGAGUACUGUAGAGGGGGGUAGAAUUUCAGGUGUAGCGGUGAAAUGCGUAGAGAUCUGAAGGAAUACCAGUGGCGAAGGCGGCCCCCUGGACAGAUACUGACACUCAGAUGCGAAAGCGUGGGGAGCAAACAGGAUUAGAUACCCUGGUAGUCCACGCCGUAAACGAUGUCUACUUUUGUGGCCUUGAGCCGUGGCUUUCGGAGCUAACGCGUUAAGUAGACCGCCUG
rnacentral:rRNA from 1 species